ensembl:snRNA U6 U6 spliceosomal RNA
GUGCUCAAUUUCACGGCACAUAACCUAAAAGUGGAACAAUACAGACAAGAUUAGCAUUGCCCCUGUGCAAAGAUGUCAAGCAACGUUGUGAAGUGUUCUAUACUUUG